GGCGCUAUGGUGUAGUGGCAGCACUUGGGAUUUUGAUCCACUCCUAGUGAGCUUAUCUUCCCACAACGCAGGUUCGAACCCUGCUAGUGCCU
rnacentral:tRNA from 1 species